CCCCACCAUGAUGAUAACAGACUGAACCUCUGAAACUAGUCCACCAGUAAAGUUUUAUUGACACACAGCCAUGUGCAUUUCUUCACAUGUUGUCUGUGACUGCUUCCCUGGAUGUGAUGGUGGAGUUAACCGAACUUGACACAUUACGUGGCUGAAAAGCCGACGAAAUUACACAACCCGCCCUGAAGAAUUUGCUGAUCUAAGUGACGGAAGCCACCCUCAGACUCCUGGGGCUCAGGGAAGACACAUACCUGGUUGAGAUGGUGCAGGUGUCUGGCGAGACACGGAAGCCCACAGUAGCUGCUGCAUCUGAAUGCGCCUCUUGACCACGCACCAUGCUGCUGGGAUCAGGUCACCUCAGUGUGAAUCAAUUACUGGACUUGUAAUGACACAGCUCCCAAGAAUGUGUGCAAGUCAGCUUCAUAGAGAGAAAGAGCGACCAGAACAGGAAUGGUCCUCCCUCUCCCUCAACCCUGAAAACUGAAAGAAAGGAGAGCUGAUGUCACCCUUCUGAUGACCUUCUGAUUGACCCUGAGUUCUCAAGGAUGCCAUUCCAGAAAAGGAGGCCGACUUUCCCAGAAACAACUUCACGGGGCUCCAAACGAGGCUUGCUUUCUUUAGAAAAGAUUCCUCUAUGACUGGCUUGGCCUGCUAAGUCACUAUGAAUUAAAGUUUUGACAAUGGCCUGGGAUCCAAGGGAGGAGGAGGCCCACGGCCAGCAAGGUCUCAA